rnacentral:lncRNA from 1 species
UUUUUCUUUGUAUUCAAAUAGCGUAAAGAAAAGAGAGAAAACUCUUUUUAGGUAUCUUGUUUUUCUGAAAUUGUCUCUUUUCUUUUAUUCCCACUACAACAAUGUCUUUUGGUGUUUUUCUUUUAUAUGUUUUGACUUUUGAUUUUUCCUUUUAGUUUUUUCAAAAGCAAUUUUUUUAUUUUUACCAUUACUUACUUGAAUUUCUUUUUCAUACAUUUCUUUUUCUCCCCAACUUAAUUUUUGACAUACACUUGGAUUUUG